rnacentral:lncRNA from 1 species
GAUUCUACUCUAACUUAUCAAGGAUUGUCAAUCCUGAGCAAUCCUAGUGAGCUCUCAUAAUUCAUUAGUGACAUCUAGUAGUAUGUAAUGACAACCCAAUAGAAUCGAAAAAAAAUCUCAAGGUAUAGUUCACAUGUGAUUCAGUCUCCCGAUCGUGAGUCCUGAUUAGAUGGCAGGUCAUGGAUAAAUCAUCAAACCUCAUCAUUAGUCAUAUGAUUAUUUGAUUAG